rnacentral:rRNA from 1 species
AUUGAACGCUGGCGGCAUGCUUUACACAUGCAAGUCGAACGGUAACAGGCCGCAAGGUGCUGACGAGUGGCGGACGGGUGGGUAAUGCAUCGGAACGUGCCCAGCCGUUGGGGAUAACUACUCGAAAGAGUAGCUAAUACCGCAUACGAUCUAUGGAUGAACGCGGGGGACCGUAAGGCCUCGCGCGGUUGGAGCGGCCGAUGUCAGAUUAGGUUGUUGGUGGGGUAAAGGCUCACCAAGCCAACGAUCUGUAGCUGGUCUGAGAGGACGACCAGCCACACUGGGACUGAGACACGGCCCAGACGCCUACGGGAGGCAGCAGUGGGGAAUUUUGGACAAUGGGCGCAAGCCUGAUCCAGCAAUGCCGCGUGCAGGAAGAAGGCCUUCGGGUUGUAAACUGCUUUUGUACGGAACGAAACGGCUCUGGUUAAUACCCGGGGCUAAUGACGGUACCGGAAGAAUAAGCACCGGCUAACUACGUG